rnacentral:rRNA from 1 species
UCGGGAUAACAACCUGGAAACAGAUGCUAAUACCGGAUAACAACAGAUGAUGCCUAUCAACUGUUUAAAAGAUGGUUCUGCUAUCACUCUUGGAUGGACCUGCGGUGCAUUAGCUAGUUGGUAGGGUAACGGCCUACCAAGGCGAUGAUGCAUAGCCGAGUUGAGAGACUGAUCGGCCACAUUGGGACUGAGACACGGCCCAAACUCCUACGGGAGGCAGCAGUG